UGGGGAAUUUUGGACAAUGGGCGAAAGCCUGAUCCAGCAAUGCCGCGUGUGUGAAGAAGGCCUUCGGGUUGUAAAGCACUUUUGUCCGGAAAGAAAUCCUUGGCUCUAAUACAGUCGGGGGAUGACGGUACCGGAAGAAUAAGCACCGGCUAACUACGUGCCAGCAGCCGCGGUAAUACGUAGGGUGCAAGCGUUAAUCGGAAUUACUGGGCGUAAAGCGUGCGCAGGCGGUUUGCUAAGACCGAUGUGAAAUCCCCGGGCUCAACCUGGGAACUGCAUUGGUGACUGGCAGGCUAGAGUAUGGCAGAGGGGGGUAGAAUUCCACGUGUAGCAGUGAAAUGCGUAGAGAUGUGGAGGAAUACCGAUGGCGAAGGCAGCCCCCUGGGCCAAUACUGACGCUCAUGCACGAAAGCGUGGGGAGCAAACAGGAUUAGAUACCCUGGUAGUCCACGCCCUAAACGAUAUCAACUAGUUGUUGGGGAUUCAUUUCCUUAGUAACGUAGCUAACGCGUGAAGUUGACCGCCUGGGGGAGUACGGUCGCAAGAUUAAAACUCAAAUGAAUUGNCGGGGUCAUAGCUGUUUCCU
rnacentral:rRNA from 1 species